UUAUGAUCAUGCAGAAGAAUAGGUGUGUUUGCCAUGGGGGAGAAACCGAUUGAUGGUAGCCCUUUUAAGCGGAAGUAACGAGAAUCUGUGGCAGCAGGAAAGAUCUCUGGUUUACCAAGUUUUCCAUUUGCUUUUUUGACAGCUUCUUCAAGCAAGGCCCACCAUGGGUUAGAAUUGUCAGUCUUUGUAAGGAGUGGCCUCCCAAAGCUGUCAUAAACGGUAGCUUUCUGCUUAAACUGGUACGUCAUGUUGCGUGAAACAGGUGCCCAUUCUUCAGCAAUUCGCCUUUCCAAUGAUUCAGGAUCAGCAGUUGGUGGAACCCGAAUAUCAAAACCUGCUUCUGCUUCAGAUGGCUGCAAAUUCAUGACAAAUCCAGUUGGAGAUGGAGUGCCAGCCUUAAGAAAGACCAUGUUAACAGAAAUAACCUCACCCUCCUCCUUCAAACCAGACUUCACCAAAUCAAACUGAGAAGCCCGAAAUCUCCUCACACUCUCAAUGCUUUUCAAAAGAUUUUCCAUUGCACUAUUGUCAUAAAGCUUCGCUCCAUGGCCUGGAGCCCCAAAGGCCUUGAUCACCAGCCACCAUGGGCUCCUCUCUGCAAAGAACGGCCUGUACUUCUCAGACGGCGAUGCUAAUCCUUCAUCGAGCACUAUUCCCACAUUCAUGGUCCUGAAGAUAUCAGAAUCAGCAAACUUCUCAGCACCAUCAUGGCCGCCUAUUUCUUCAUCGGGGGCAAAAGCUAGGUAAAUGGAUCGAAUCGGCUGGAACCCAGAAGACUUCAAGCGGCGAACAGCUUCCAAAUACUGCAUACCAACGCACUUCAUGUCCUGGGAACCUCUAGCAUAGAUGUUACCAUGGGAAUCCAGGUGGGCACCAAAGGCAGGGUAUGCCCACUUGUGCUGCUCGACCGGGACGACAUCGGUAUGAGAAUAAAGGAGGAUAGAGGGGAGGGUAGGUUGAGAGCCAGCCCACUUGAGGAGAACAAGUGGCUUGCCAUCGACGAACUCAAUGGAUUGGAAUUCGAGGCCGAUGGAUUUAGCCUGAGAAAUAAGGAAAUCGGCUGCUUCGUGGUAUCCGGGGUUGGGUUGGGCAGUGUCGAUUUGGAGGUAUUGUUGGAAUCUUGAUAUGAUUGCUGAUGAUGAAUCUUCUGCUACUGCUACUAAUGGAUUCGGAAGGAGUAAGCAGCUAUGGAGGAGGAGGAGGACGACGACGACGACG
rnacentral:misc_RNA from 1 species